rnacentral:lncRNA from 1 species
CCCACCUGCAGCCUGGUGGUGUCUCCCUUCCCCUGUGCCUUCCCUCUUUCCUGCUCAAUCUUUCUUUCCCUGGGUUGUCAAUUGUGUAAUAAAGAUUAUAAAAUCACUCUAUCCCAAUAAAUAGAGCUUCUAUCAGUCUUAUUGACUGAGGCACUGCAGAAUUCUCGGUUUGGAAGGGGAUUUUGCUGCUUAAAACGUUUCAAAAUCACGGCCAGAGGGAACCAGCAGCCCUUUUGUGGAGAGCAGAGCCAGCUCCUCUUGCACGUGAAUAAAGAACCAUAAAUGAGACACAGCACAUUUGGGCAAUCUUUUACAGUAGGCUUUAAAAAUCAUUUAAAAUACGUUUGUUUAAAAAAAAAAAAGUAAUUCAAAUCAAGCAUUUGCAACAUACCUAAGAGACCUCUACGGAGACUUAGCAUCUACAAAACCCAGUUUGGCAACUGCCAGCCCCAGGGAAUAAGUGAAGUUUCUCGGCACAAGUCACACAAUGUCCUCGCCAACCCACCUCUGCCUGCUCCCCAGGGCUCUCCUCCACCCCAGCCCUCUCUCUCCGUAAGGCCAGCGAGAGGCUCCGGGACUGCCCGCCCCAAAUCCUUUCCUCCUUUUCGGGAACAGCGAGAGUUCAAGAGAUGCGGUCACGUGAGGCCGUCCCGCCAAUCUGGUGUGAGCAGAGGCCCCUAUUGGCCCAGAGUGGAGCCGGGCGGGGGCGGAGCCGGGCGGGGGCGGGGCCGGGCCGGGCCGGGAGUGGAAGGAGCUGCGGCGAGGACAGAACCGCAGGCCGGGACCCCUACUGAAGACCCCUAUCUCCGCUAAUGAUCCACUGGCACACAGACCCCAGAUGAGGGAGAAACGAAGAUGAAAGUUUAACUAUUGUCUUUGUUCCAAGUUUCUUCCUGAGGGGCUGUGAGAAACUCACUCCCCCUAGCAAGUUAACAUUUUUCUACUGACCCCCUAAUUUUUAAAUAAAGCCUCUCUUCCUUACCAAUCGCAAAUCAGAAGAUCUUUGAAUCUACCCAUGACCUGUGAGCCCCCAUUCAAGAUGUCCC